rnacentral:rRNA from 1 species
CCUACGGGAGGCAGCAGUGAGGAAUAUUGGUCAAUGGACGCAAGUCUGAACCAGCCAUGCCGCGUGCAGGAAGACGGCUCUAUGAGUUGUAAACUGCUUUUGUACGAGGGUAAACGCAGAUACGCGUAUCUGUCUGAAAGUAUCGUACGAAUAAGGAUCGGCUAACUCCGUGCCAGCAGCCGCGGUAAUACGGAGGAUUCAAGCGUUAUCCGGAUUUAUUGGGUUUAAAGGGUGCGUAGGCGGUCGGAUAAGUUAGAGGUGAAAUCCCGAGGCUCAACUUCGGAAUUGCCUCUGAUACUGUUCGGCGAGAGAGUAGUUGCGGUAGGCGGAAUGUAUGGUGUAGCGGUGAAAUGCUUAGAGAUCAUACAGAACACCGAUUGCGAAGGCAGCUUACCAAGCUACUUCUGACGUUGAGGCACGAAAGCGUGGGGAGCAAACAAGAUUAGAUACCCGGGUAGUC